GUUACACGAGAGCCGGUAAUCGGUGGUAAAGGUAUAGGAUUGAGAGUUUGCGGUAUUGGAUUGUUGUAGCUACAAAGUUAGCACAACAGUCUUUAGUUUAAUGGGUUGUUGGUAACAAGUUAGUGCCACAGCCUAAACUCUGCAUUCUUCUUUUAGGGUGUUACCUUUUCCAGCCUCGGUUCGAGGUCUGUUUUCUUUGAGUUACCCCGUUUUCUGCACAGGCAAUCGUUUUAUUUUCAGAAAGUUCAUACUCCUUAAGCUUUAGUUUUUUUUUACCCAGUACACGGGUUGUUUAGAGAUUUUCUUUGGGAUACUUUCCCUUAGGAGUAUUUUUCUUUUCGUUCCUUACCUUGUCCUUUUGUCUCUUUCGAGGCUUAGUGGUUAUUCUACCUCAGGUCCACCGGAACAUUCUGCAGCCGUUCUACAAUACACUCGUACUGUGGAAAUUCAGCACUCGUUCCCUCCACCUCAUAUCCUCAUCUUUGGCAGACUUGACAAUUAACAGGGACUGCUCUCCUGUGUAAUUCUGGCACAUCUCAGAAACAUCAAAGCUUUGAUUUGGAUUACAGUGUAAACUGAACAACCGGUACCAAGGCUUUGUGUACUGUGACGACAGCGAGUGCAGUUGCCCUAAAACGGAGACUGACGCACAGGAUUGGAUUAAAAUUCCUGCGUGGCUGUCACUCUCCAGCUCCCAAUUCCCAGGGCGAGUGAACCUACGGCCUCACUCCUCGUUCUCCUCCUCGUCGCCCUUGACGCCCUUGCUCCAGCGCUGGAAGCAGUGAACGGUGGAAGCCAGGAAGAAGCUGGCCAUGAUGGCGGCCACCGAGACGGAGAUGCCG